rnacentral:misc_RNA from 1 species
UCUCCGUUGGUGAACCAGCGGAGGGAUCAUUACAGGACUCGCAAGACUCCUACAACCCUGUGAACUUAACUAUAAGCACGUUGCUUCGGCGGGUGUCUCGGAGGGGGUUCUCCCUCCCCGAGACGCUAAACCCGCCGGCAGCCUACUAUACUCUGUCUCUUUGCGUUGGCAUCUCGAGUACAAUCAAACAAGUUAAAACUUUCAACAACGGAUCUCUUGGUUCUU